UUUAGCCUUUGGGGUAGGGUUAAUUUCCCAACCGGCGGUAAAGUCCGCGAGCGUUAAGCAUGAACCGGUGCAAUUCCGGUACCGACAGUAAAGUCUGGAUGAGAAAAGGCAAAA
rfam:Phascolarctobacterium sp. CAG:266 genomic scaffold, scf201